rnacentral:rRNA from 1 species
UGGGGAAUAUUGGACAAUGGGGGCAACCCUGAUCCAGCGACGCCGCGUGUGUGAAGAAGGCCUGCGGGUUGUAAAGCACUUUUAGUGGGGACAAAAAGCUACGGAUUAAUACUCUGUGGUCUUGAUUUAACCCAAAGAAAAAGCACCGGCUAACUCUGUGCCAGCAGCCGCGGUAAUACAGAGGGUGCGAGCGUUAAUCGGAAUUACUGGGCGUAAAGCGCGCGUAGACGGUUUUGUAAGUCAGAUGUGAAAUCCCUGGGCUCAACCUGGGAACUGCAUUUGAGACUGCAUGGCUAGAGUAUCGAAGAGGGAAGUGGAAUUUCCGGUGUAGCGGUGAAAUGCGUAGAUAUCGGAAGGAACACCAGUGGCGAAAGCGACUUCCUGGUCGAAUACUGACGUUCAUGUGCGAAAGCGUGGGGAGCAAACAGGAUUAGAUACCCUGGUAGUCCACGCCAUAAACGAUGACAACUAGAUGUUGGGAGGGUCUGCCUCUCGGUGUCGCAGCUAACGCGUUAAGUUGUCCGCCUGGGGGGUACGGCCGCAAGGCUG